GAUGAACGCUGACAGAAUGCUUAACACAUGCAAGUCAACUUGAACUUCGGUUUGGGUGGCGGACGGGUGAGUAACGCGUAAAGAACUUGCCUCACAGCUAGGGACAACAUUUGGAAACGAAUGCUAAUACCUGAUAUUAUGAUUAUAUGGCAUCGUAUAAUUAUGAAAGCUAUAUGCGCUGUGAGAGAGCUUUGCGUCCCAUUAGCUAGUUGGAGGGGUAACAGCUCACCAAGGCGAUGAUGGGUAGCCGGCCUGAGAGGGUGAUCGGCCACAAGGGGACUGAGACACGGCCCUUACUCCUACGGGAGGCAGCAGUGGGGAAUAUUGGACAAUGGACCGAGAGUCUGAUCCAGCAAUUCUGUGUGCACGAUGAAGUUUUUCGGAAUGUAAAGUGCUUUCAGUUGGGAAGAAAAAAAUGACGGUACCAACAGAAGAAGUGACGGCUAAAUACGUG
rnacentral:rRNA from 1 species